rnacentral:rRNA from 1 species
AGAGUUUGAUCAUGGCUCAGGAUAAACGCUGGCGGCGUGCUUUAAGCAUGCAAGUCGAACGGACGGGCUUCGGCCCGUCAGUGGCAGACGGCUGAGGAAGACGGAAGGAACCUGCCCUUCGGAGGGGGAUAACCCCGCGAAAGCGGGGCUAAGACCGCGUACGCUCGGGGCGGGCAGCGUGCCCCGAGGAAAGCCGCGAG